rnacentral:lncRNA from 10 species
GCAUGGUUGGUUAAAGGAUGUGGAAUCUGUGGAUACUGAGGGCUGACUAUUUUAUUCUCACCCUUGUUUUGGGAUGCAUCUGUCUUUCCUAGAGACUUCACUGGUAUCUGGCCAGUGGGAGCCCCUCAAGCUGGCUUCUUGAUAUGUCUUCAUUAUUUUUUGAACAUUUACUUAUUUUCUUAUACCACAAAAUGUUCUAGGCUCAUCCUGGUUUUUUUUUCCUGUGCAGGGUGAGUCCAAACUAUUCCAGAGUUGCAUAAAUUUCAAACAACAAAAAAAAUUAGUGUCGAUCAUUCAUCGUAAUUUAAAAGAGUUGUUUAAAUCUGUAGUUUGGAAGAUAACUUUUAUUCUAUAAAGUGCAUUCCCGUUGUCUAA